rnacentral:rRNA from 1 species
GACGGACGCUGGCGGCGUGCUUAACACAUGCAAGUCGAACGGAAAGGCCCUGCUUUUGUGGGGUGCUCGAGUGGCGAACGGGUGAGUAACACGUGAGUAACCUGCCCUUGACUUUGGGAUAACUUCAGGAAACUGGGGCUAAUACCGGAUAGGAGCUCCUGCUGCAUGGUGGGGGUUGGAAAGUUUCGGCGGUUGGGGAUGGACUCGCGGCUUAUCAGCUUGUUGGUGGGGUAGUGGCUUACCAAGGCUUUGACGGGUAGCCGGCCUGAGAGGGUGACCGGCCACAUUGGGACUGAGAUACGGCCCAGACUCCUACGGGAGGCAGCAGUGGGGAAUAUUGCACAAUGGGCGGAAGCCUGAUGCAGCAACGCCGCGUGCGGGAUGACGGCCUUCGGGUUGUAAGCCGCUUUCGCCUGUGACGAAGCGUGAGUGACGGUAAUGGGUAAAGAAGCACCGGCUAACUACGUG